rnacentral:rRNA from 1 species
CCUACGGGUGGCAGCAGUGAGGAAUAUUGGUCAAUGGACGCAAGUCUGAACCAGCCAUGCCGCGUGCAGGAUGACGGCUCUAUGAGUUGUAAACUGCUUUUGUACGAGAGUAAACCUAGAUACGUGUAUCGGGUUGCAAGUAUCCUACGAAUAAGCAUCGGCUAACUCCGUGCCAGCAGCCGCGGUAAUACGGAGGAUCCGAGCGUUAUCCGGAUUUAUUGGGUUUAAAGGGUGCGUAGGCGGUUUGAUAAGUUAGAGGUGAAAUGUUGGGGCUCAACCCCGAAAUUGCCUCUAAUACUGGUAGACUAGAGAGUGGUUGAGGUAGGCGGAAUGUGUGGUGUAGCGGUGAAAUGCAUAGAGAUCAUGCAGAACACCGAUUGCGAAGGCAGCUUACCAAGCUAUAUCUGACGUUGAGGCACGAAAGCGUGGGUAGCAAACAGGAUUAGAUACCCGAGUAGUC